AUUUGAAGAAGACUAGAAAAGUGUUGGCUAGUAUGCUGAGAGGUACGGAUUUGGUUGUCAGAUAUGAGCCGACACUGCCCUCCAUUUAUUCUUGCCUGGCCCAGCAUAUGCAUUUCAGGGCUAGGGCGAUUACAAUAGGAAGUCAGGCAUAGGUUUAGUGAUGGUGGUUGUGAACAGGGACCUAGCUGAGGAGCCCAGCUUGAAGACAGCUAUGAUGCACUAUCAGGGAUUCUCAGUGUCUCUAGAUUUUCCUCUUCCUCAGGCUUCUUUGUGGAACAAAGCAUGUUUUCCCUUUCCCUGCCCUAUUAUCUCUACAAGGUUACUAGUGUUUUUCUACCUACAGGGUCUGCUGGGGAGGCAUCACCCCAAGCCCCCACCAUCAAUGAGCAGGAGAAGAGACACGAGAGGUUGGAGAAGCUC
rnacentral:lncRNA from 1 species